ACAAGCACCCAAACCAUGGGCAAUCUGGAUUGCAAAACAUUUAAAUAUUUAAAAUGUCAGAUCUGUUUUAGUGUUUCUUUAAUGGGACCCAUCCACAAGGGCUCACAUGAGUCUGUGGACUCAAGUUUAGGACUAAAACCAGCAUUUCUCACAGUGGUAGCUGGACCAUCUGCCACUCUUCCCUAGUCCUCAUGACUGAGUGGUUAAAUAAGAAGGAGCCAUUCAGGAUCUGCCAAUUGUGCUUUUCCAGUGACCUUUCAAAAAACUGACUUCUUUUUGACUAAAAAUAAAUUUUGCAUUACCAAACCAAUGAGGCAGACUUCCCUAUGUAUUUUGAAUAACACCAUUGUUUUGAAAUAUAUCUUGGCUCCCAUGUAACAACAGCCUGAUGGUAAAAAAAAAAGGUGAUUUAAAUUGGUUCUGUUUAUUGGCUGAUAUUCAAAAUACAGUAAGAAAGUUGAGCUUCUGUGCUAUCCUGUGACAUGCCAUCAUUAGCACCUCAUGAAAUGAGAGGAAGGGAGAAUAAAAUCACCCAAACAUUUCUGGAAACCUUCUCUGAGCUACUUUUUUUACUCAGGAAUUUUCACUUUCAGAGCACCUCUGUUGCAGACUAUUUCCCCAUAAUGACGUGUCUAGACUUUGAUGGAAAAAUUUCCAGGCAGCUCUUAUUUCUCUGUCCUCUUUUCUCUUUCCAUCCAGGGGUGAGCAGUUGGUGUGGUGAUGAUGAUGAUGUCCAAAAUGGGAAACAGACUCUGAACUGAGCCAGUUCCUCGAGGAAAGCCCUUCCUUUGGGGGUUUGAUAUGCCCAGAUACGCAUGCACGGAAAAGCCUGGCCAGAAGGAGGGUGGCAUUGGUCCUUAAUGAAGAAUUUGGUAGCAGAGGUGAAGUUGUAGAAGCAGGGAAAAGGAAGGAGCAGCUGACAAAUCCAUCCCGUCUGUGCUUUUUGUGCAGCAUUACAAAAUUAGAAAGUUGUUUUCCAAAGAACAUAAAACUGCUGAAGAACAGAAACUGAAGUGCUGUAAAUAGUGCUGGGCCCUUUGAAGCCACAAAGAGGAGACUGUUCUGCUGGAGAUGCCAGCCCUGGGAACACGGCUUGCCUUUGUCCGUGCGUCAUUAUGCAGCAGCUGGCGUGCGCCGAGCACGACUCCCAGAUUUGUUUGUGCUGCUAACCCAGGACAAAGAAGGGACAGUGGCUGCCUGGGAGUGGUGGCCAAGAGAAUUCUGGGUCCUUCAACCCACCUGGCUCAAUGGGGAAAUGAUCUUCUGUAGAUACACGUGGAAGGGUAAAGAACCAGUCUGCAGGCAAAAUUUGCUCAGAUUAUCAGAGAUAAUUGUUUCUGUUUUGUCUUAGGAAGAAUAAAGAAAUCCCAGUUCUUUUUUUAGGAGAUGCAGCUCAGUCUCUAAUAUCCUUGUCACCAGGGCCAGUGGGUUUUGCAGUGGGAAUGGUGGCAGCUGACAUGAGCACCCCCUGGGCUGUCCAUGACUCCUGAAAACAGCAUUCCAGUGCUCUGUUUGAGCAGUUGGGCUUAAAAUGCAGCUGAGGAAGCAACAGGCACGGAUGGGGUUAGUCCUGAAUCUGGCUGAAACCUCUCCAUGGAUACACCCUAAGGGGGAAUCAUGGGGUACUUUGACUGGACACAGCUCCCCAAAGGUGUCACCUAACAAGAGAUGGUUGAACUGAGCCCAAACACACAAGACAGCUGUAGGAGCCCAUUAUGUUUAGUCUGGUGCAAAUGCAUAUCUUUGGGGAAUUUAGACCCCAUCCUACACCCCUGUCUGAUUCCUGGAUGGAUGGUGUCUCGCCUUGACACUUGGAGCUAUUUUCUUCCCCCAGUUGUCCAUGGCUGGGCCUCAGCUUUGCACAGCCCCUGCUCAGCUUUCAGUGCUGAAAGCAAGGAAGGUUAUUAAGUCCCACUGACCUUCAAAAGAGCCCCAAGUGAAACCCUAACAACGUUCUUAAUAAAGGUGCUGGCUCUGAAGGGUUUUGUCUCAUGCACCUCAUGCCAGAUAAUGGCACAAGAGGUGCUUGUAAAUGGGAACUUUAUUAAACUUUAUUAAAGGAGUCACAGGAGCGAGGGCUGCACCUUUCAGCCUUGCCCUGGGAGAACCACUGCAUUAAAGCUCAGUUUUUAAAUUGGGCAAUGGAAAGCAGGUUUAACCACUCACAGUGAUUUUAUCACAUGUGUAUGCAUGGAAACAUUUUCUUAACUAAUGAACCCAUGGUGAAGUGGUUAAUUGAUUUUAGGUGCCUGGGAGCCUCCAUGCACUGCCCUGAUUAAUUGCCUGCUCAGCUUUAAUCUGUGAACGGCUGCAGGAAUGAAUGUCCCGGGGAGUCAAGGCUGAGGACAGACAACCACAAAACAAGAGGGUUAGGCACAGUUUCACCAAGGAACAGUAGCCAAGAUCUGGGGGAAAAACCUGCCAAGAUCAUCAGCUGAAGUAAGUAACUCAAGAAGGAGCUGGGCAAGUUUCCAGAGCUGCAGAGUAUGAGGUAAAGCCAUUAACAGGAUUUUUGGUUUUAAGAUAAUGAGAGAUUGGUUAGUGAUUGGGAUUUCCUGGACUCCUGAGGCUUAGGAAAUACUAGAAACACGGAUGUGGAAGGCUGGCCUUGGGGAAGUGGGCUCAGGGGCUGCUCUGUGUGCCAACAGCCAGCCUCCCCUGGCCCAGUGCCCUGCAGAAGGAGGUGCCUGGGAGGAUCUGUGUCACGUUGGUGUUCCCAAAGGGAAGGGAAGGGUGAGCUGCCCCAUUUGGCCUGGCACUUGACAGCCAUGGGGCAGCAGCUGGUCUGUACCCAGAGGAGGAUGGAGUUACUCCCAAGGCAGGGGGUCUUUCAGCUAUUUUUAUUAUGUUCCUCCUUCUUCCAGUUGUUUGCACAAGGGACGUUGCGCUUUUCAGGGACAAAAACCAGACAGUAACCACAGGAGCACGAUGAGGUGCCUGCUUACAAAUUGAAUCUCUUGGAGGUUUAAUGCCAAACUCUGCAUUUGGAGAAGCCUUAGAGACUUUUUUUUCAUUGUAAGGGUUGUCCAGCAGUGUUGCGGUGAAAAGAAAGAGGACUGCAUAAAAAUGAAUUGACCACUGGCUGUGGGCUCUGAGUCCAAGCUGAAAUGGUCAGUGUGUGCUGGCACCCUGCUGAACAGCCAGCAGGAGCUUGGAUGAUGAUGGAUUAGCCAUUUCAUUGAGCUUCUUACCUGUCUGCGCCCUUGGGCUCCUCCUGUGUAUCUGCAUGCUGGGGGCUGGAGCUGGCCCUCUCAGAGCCCACCAGAGAUCUGCCAUCGUGCUGCCAUUUGGAGCAUGGAAGCCUGGCAGCCAACAUGUUUGCCAUGCCCACUAGGAGAGGGAAGCGAACCCCCAAAAUCCUCUGGUUGCUCUCUUCUUGUUAUUUUUUUAAAAAAAUAUGCACAAGAUACAAAUAGCAUAAAUUAACAAAGCCCAUCAGCCUAAAUGAAGAGAGUUAUCUUCAGGUGGGCCUGCAAGACAGAGCUGGACUUUUCCUAGAGCACCUUGUUACCAUGAGAUUGUGUCAAACCUGGUACAAACACGUACCAUUUCCUCUGGCUGGGCAAGGGUUAAUGUGAUUCAUAGAAUGUUUCAUGCCUUUAAGCAUUUUCCAUAAGCAAAUGAUCAUUGCAAAUUUUUUUUGCUGCAAUCACCAACAGACCAAAUAAAUAUUAAUAAAAUAAUUAGCAUUUCAGAAAAGGGUUAAACCACACAACCAACCAGCUGUGUCUUCACAAACACCACAGCAUCUGAACUGCAAAAGUAACGUUCAAACCCCAUCUGUAAUGGAAAAAGUUACUUUUAUGCCUAUGCAUAGAAUUUCUGUCUGUGACUCCCUGAGGAGGUUGCUUCAUCUUGGCAUUUUUCAUUGUUAACCAAGGCUCCAUGACUGAUGAAUACUUGGGAGUUUAAGUUACUAGAAAGGGAUACUCAAAUACUUAAAUAUUUGUAUGCAUUAGCCCUUGUUAAAUUAAAACUGUUUUAAUCAUGGGUUUGUUGCAAGAAUCUUAAUUCCUGUCAUGACUUAAUGUAAUCCUGUACCAUAAUACUUUAAUGCUGAGAAAUCCUCUGCCUGUUCCAUUUUUCACCACCCUUUCCUGUGGGAUGCAUACCUGCCUUACAGGGGCUUGGGAGCACACUGGCACAUCCUCCUUGGUGUGGACAAAGCUGGCUGAUUAGCAUUCAUAUGAAAAUAUCAAUUAAUCAAUCAUGUAUAAGGUUAAAAUCAGCAAAUUCUUCCCACCUGCAGUGAUCCUGCUGAAGCAGGAGAUAAAAAAUGGGGAGGAAUGGUGUAGGAUGGGAGCUGUCACCCUGAGGCAGUGAAGGAGAACAUUAAUGGCUACACCAUUCAUUAGGGACAUGGUGGAAAGUCAGCAGCAGAGACUGGUCCCUUAUGGUUUGGGUCCAGACCCACUCAAAACUCUGGAGAUUAAAAAAUAUUUAAAGCCUGAACAAAUGCUUACCUAGAUUUGGACAGAGUGUGACACUUGAGUGAUUCAAAGGGGGUUGGUUAGGGUGGUUUUUAAAGCCAUGAAGUGUUGAAUUCCUGUUUUGAGGAAAAAUUGACUAAGCUUUGACCUUCAUUGCCUUGCCAGUCCGAGUUUCCCACAUUCACACACAUGCUUUUCCUAGAAGAAGUCAUCCAGAGGAACAACGUGCCUUUUGUUAGGAGGCUCAGUUAAAUAAUGCUGCUUUCAGAUCCCUCCACGGCACGGAAAGAGCUCAGUGCCCUUUUGGUUUGCUGUCUCCCAUUACCUCAGGUUAGGCUGGGCUCUGCAGGCUGUGAGCUGACAGACAGGAGCCUCAAGCCUUCUGAAGUGGUGUGUUUGUUUUUGGAGCUUGCACAGAGCAGGUCUCAGCUCCAAGGCCAUGGAGGAGCUGCCCUGCCAAGCCUGGGGCUCCAAAGGGUGGGAGGAGCUGCUGGGUGGGAUGAGGAGACACCAAGUCUGGAGUCUGACACCUACUGAGACCCGCUGACCACAGCACUCGAGAGGAACAGAGGAUAGAAAAGAGCUCUUUUUAGGGUCUCCUCUGCCUCAGUCUGUGCCUGGGCACACUUGUUCUUGGCUCUUUGCUUUUGUUUGUGGCAGCUUGGCUUUGACUUGUUUCCUGCCUCCUUCUAGCCAGCCCCUCACAUCUAUUUCUGCUCUCAUGUAUUUUAGAAAAAUAACUUCUUCUCUCCUGGUUUCCCCCUUCAUUUUUGCUGGUGGUGGUGGUGAAAGGAAGGAUCUUUUCCCUUUUUGUUUUCACAGAGAAUCACUACUGCUUCCUUUUUUUUUUUUUUUCCCCAUCCUGCAAAUGAGGCUCACUAAUGAGAGCACACACCAGUGCUCAAGGAGGAAGCUUUUAAACCCCUCUGUGCUGGCUCUGAUUUGUGUAACGGUUUUGGGGCAGGUGUGGAGGGCACAAACAAUGCCUCAAAAGGCUCAUGUGACAGCCCUCUGCAGGGAUCAUGCUUAGGUGUCAGGGCAGACACCUGCUGCAGAUGCUUGCUGUACAUUAUGGUGUCCUGCUUUAGCAAAUCACUUGCACAGUCUUUUAGCCAAACCAUCUGCAUGAGGCUGAGAAGGGAGUGCAGGGUCUCAUGGAGGGGACUUGCAGGUGCCAGUGGGUGAGGUUUAACUUGUGUGACUGUGCAUCUGCCUGGCAAUCCUGAGACCCCCCUUUAGGAGCUGCACUAACAGGAAGGAUGAUAAAAAAAGGUAAAGGCUAAUGGACUGUGAGCUGCUUUUGACCAAACACCAGGAUCUUUCUGCUGCUUUGUAAAUCAUUCAGAUGCAUUUAUGGAAAUGUUUUGCUUAUAAUUUGUGAUUCCAAGAUACUAAGAUGCUAAUUUUAAAUGAUGUUUUAGCCUUUGUCAUGAUCUAGUUCUAACUGAAUGAUUUAUCUGUGAUAUGCAUGUUGAUAAGAACUCACAGUUGAUGAAUUAAAAAGCAGAGGAGAAAGGA